UCCCUCCCCCCUCCCCUGGUCACCCCCUCCCAGUGAGGAGGAGGGGGUCUUACUAGGGCAGCCUAGGCUGUGAAGGGGCGAGGGGGUCUUGAACCAAGUACAAGUUCGGUCAAACAAUGGCUUGGUCGUGGGAGAGUCCCAAGGGCAAGGAUGGCCUGCUGCUGAGUGUGGUAUCAGACCAUCCCGGCAGGGCCAGGCAAAUCUGAAGGUGCGAUCUUGAUAAAGAGAGUCCUUGCCAUUGUGGCCUGGGCGCCCGCGUGCACACACACGUACGUGCCCUCUCUGCCACACAGGACUGAAGUGUGGGGUCCCUGCGGUUGAUGUGCACUGGGAAACCGGGUUCAUCCAGAGAACGAUCAGUUGGAGAAAUUCAACAGUCGGCCGACAUCUGAGGCAGGUCUCCCUAAAAUUAGGUGAGGAGCACUUCUGUGGAGGAAGCUUGAUCCAAGAUGAUCUGGUUGUUACAGCAGCAGGCUGCCUGGUUGGUCUCAACCAGUAAGUUGUGGAUUUCCAUUGCUUAUCAAACCUUAAUUCAUAGCAGGUAAGACUGGGAGAUUUGAAGCUCUAAAUACCAUGGGAGGGUCAAUCUUAGCCCCUUUCUGAUUUUUUCAACCUGGUCCACCCAUUCACUGGCCUUCCUGAUCCCCAGAAACUUGUAUCCAGCUCAAGAUUCCCUGUACUUCCUACUCCACUAACUAGAGACCCCAAAGAUCCCAUAGAUCUUCUAUAAUUUGUGGAGUUAGUGGUAAGGUGGAGGUGAUGGUUACUUCUUCUAAUAACAUAUUGACAUCAGAUGUUAAAUGGAUGUUCCAAAGUUUUAAUAAUCUGAGUUUCAGUCAUUAGAAGGGAAAAAAUAGGUAUACUAUUUUUAGUAUAUCUAUUAGUAUAUUUGGUAUAUUUUACUAUUUUUUAUAGAAAUAACAGAUACUUAGCUAGAUUGAGAGAGAGUACUAAUAAUAAGGACAGUUCUAGAGACACCUUUUAUAUUUUGUUAAAAAUGGAAGAGCAUAUAAGCUGGUAAAAAAGAAAAAAAAAACAGACCACACUUAAAUAUUUUAUGCAGAAAGAGAAUUGAUGGCAGGGGAAGGGAUCACAGAAUGUAAACACUGAUGGAAACCCAUGAUUUUUUACAGAUCCCUAUAAUUUAUAGGCAUUUAUGAUAGUUGGUAUUAAUCCUCAAUAAAGGUGCAUCUCCUUUUAAGACUUAGAAAUGC
rnacentral:lncRNA from 12 species